GUGGUCGAGUGCCCCUGAGUUCAAUCCCCAGUACAAAGGAAAAAAAAUAAGAAUUAUUCUACUUAAUUUCAGAGUGCUAUGCAGGAAAGAAAACUACUAGUCAACCAAAUACCCUGUUUAGUAGGAUUUUCUUGCAAAAUUGGAAACAGUGCUUAGUUAUUGCCAGUUCAGGGCAUUGAAUCUGUCUGUCCAUGCUGGAGUUGUUAUUGUCUUCACAGAAGAAUGGAUCAAGCAGGUAGGAUAUGUGUAUAAGUACACAUAAGGAGGGGGACAUUGUUGGGAUUGUUAUUUGUAGUGCAAUAGGAAGAUAUUGUGGCAUUUGGGCUGCCAGUUUUGUGCAGAACCAGCUGGUAGGUUCUGAGAGACUUGAUAGUCUCGAAUCCCUGGUCCCUUGUCCACUUUUUUUUAACAUUUCUGUGACAGUAUUAGCAGCGCUGAUGUGAAUCCCCAGUGAUGUUCUUGGGGCCCCCUGACUUGCCUCUGUAUUCUCACACGUGCACUAGUGUCUUACACGUGGCUGGAGAUCAGGGGCUGCAAACAGCUGCAAUAGGAUACAAUUCAGUAUUUUUUGUUUAUUCACAUAAGAUAGAAUUAUGUUCCAAAAAAAGUACGCAUAGCCUAAAGGGAAGAAAUGUAUAAUUUCCUUAGUGGGAAACCAAAGAGUUCCUGUUAAAAUGGGGUUUAAUGGUAACACUUUACUUAUGGGGAUUACUAGGGAAAAUAUUCAGGAACAAAGAAAAAUUAAAUAUAGAACAUAUUAAAAUUUCCCCUCAGAUUUUAGAUUUUACAAAGUCUAAUGGCUAGCAACCCAAAUAGAAGUAUUUGCUUUAACCAGCAGAUAGAUUAUUAGCAUGUUACUUGUAUACACAUGAGUCAGAGCUUCUAAAAUGUGUUCCCAUAAGUAGGUUGAGCCUCCUUCUCAGCCUGUUGUCAUAGGGUCUAAAAAUGGAAACGUUGAGUCCGAACUCUUUCCAGAUCAUAAAAAUAAUUCUGAAUUAGUAGAGCAUAAAUGAAUGUGAUUUUAUUUGAGUGUCAUUUUCAAGUGCCCCAGGCCAGGUUGGGACCUUUUAAGUCUCAAAAUCCCCUGUGGUGAGGAUUAAGGAAAGAGCAGCAGCUUUGCUUCUGGCCUCAGACAGUCUUCUAAUUGGGUCAGAGCCUCCCACUCCACUCUGGGACGCACAGAUCCUCUUGGUCCCUACAGCAUCUGUUUUAGAGAGUUGCCGCUGGAAGCUGUCACGUUGACGAGGUUGCUUCUUACAGGGUACAUUGCUGAACCUGGAAAAGUAGUAGAUGCUGAAUGGUUGGUUCUUCUGACUACCUGAAAGCUUUGUAUCCACCUCUGCUGGAAAUGCCUGUCCUGUGGAUCAGACCACAUUCGAGGCCUGACAAUGCUGUGAUAAAAUCACUAGGGACUUGAUCAUAUGAACCUGUGAGCACGUAAACCACACAUUGUCCUUUCUGGUAAGGCAGUAGAAGAAAAAGCUAAACCAAGUUUGGAGGGUCUGCUUUAAGACCUUGAAGGAAAACUCAAGACUUAGAAUUGCUGAACCUCGCCUGUGUUACAUAAAGAUUUUUGCCUGUGCCAUGUCAUCUUUGUUUUGUUGAAUUUAAUUCCUCCCCCUUGGAGUGUCCUAGUUUUUCUUCUACGGUGGCUGGUUUUGAGCAGAGAAACUUGGUUUCUCCCCCGAGCAUUUGGAUUCUUUUCAUUUGCCUACUCGUUUUAAAUAAAAAAUAAAUGAUAUACUCUUUUUCAUACUUUUUAAAUAAUUCUAAUUAUAACAGAAAAAAAUGUAAAGACAAAA